rnacentral:rRNA from 1 species
AUUGAACGCUGGCGGAAUGCUUUACACAUGCAAGUCGAACGGUAGAGGGGGCAACCCCUCGAGAGUGGCGAACGGGUGAGUAAUAUAUCGGAACGUGCCCAGUCGUGGGGGAUAACGUAGCGAAAGUUACGCUAAUACCGCAUACGAUCUAAGGAUGAAAGCGGGGGAUCGCAAGACCUCGCGCGAUUGGAGCGGCCGAUAUCAGAUUAGGUAGUUGGUGGGGUAAAGGCGCACCAAGCCAACGAUCUGUAGCUGGUCUGAGAGGACGACCAGCCAGACUGGAACUGAGACACGGUCCAGACUCCUACGGGAGGCAGCAGUGGGGAAUUUUGGACAAUGGACGCAAGUCUGAUCCAGCCAUUCCGCGUGCAGGAUGAAGGCCCUCGGGUUGUAAACUGCUUUUGUACGGAACGAAAAGGUCUCUCUUAAUACGGGGGGCUCAUGACGGUACCGUAAGAAUAAGCACCGGCUAACUACGUGCCAGCAGCCGCGGUAA